CCUACGGGAGGCAGCAGUGGGGAAUUUUGGACAAUGGGSGCAACCCUGAUCCAGCCAUGCCGCGUGAGUGAAGAAGGCCUUCGGGUUGUAAAGCUCUUUCAGCCGGGAAGAAAACGCAUGGGUUAAUACCCUGUGUGGAUGACGGUACCGGAAUAAGAAGCACCGGCU
rnacentral:rRNA from 1 species